UGCCUGUAUGUCUUUGGGUUCUGCUGGGUUCAUUAUUAAGAUCAGAAAUGCCGAGCAGAUAACAAUUUGGAAGGCAAUGACAAAGACCCCUGCAUCUAUUGCCUUAAUCAUCUACACAUUCAUUGCAGUUUGGUUUGUUGGUGGCCUCUCUGUGUUCCAUCUGUAUCUCAUGAGCACAAAUCAGACAACAUAUGAGAACUCCAGGUAUCGCUAUGAUCAGCGAGACAACCCAUACAAAAGGGAGUCAUGGAAAACAUCAAAGAGUUCUUCUUUACAACGAUCCCUCCUUCCAAGAACAACUUCUGUGGUAGGGGCGAACAGGAGCAUGGUCUGAGGCCCCGUCCAACGAAUGGUUUCAUGAGUCCAAACAUGGGGAGAGCUGUUGGCGACAUUGAGAUGGGUAGAAAACCAGUGGCUUGGGAUGAGCCUAGGAUGGCGGCUGAAAUUGGUGAUUGAGGAGCAGGUCUGAGCAACCUGUUGGAGGACAAGGAUGGCAGGUUUCGUACCACAUCUCCAAAUCUCAGCCGCGACACCCUUGCGGUUGGAGGAGGCUUAGAAGAGCACGGAUCCUCGGCAAUGAACCCUGGGCGCUCAAGCUGGGGAGUUGAAGCUGGUCGAUGAUGGCAAUGGCAUUGACCAUGUAAGGCGGAUGUAGUGAGAUGCUCAGGGUUGUUAGUGCCAGUUUGUCGCUAAUUUGUUGUUUUGUUGGAGAUUUGAGGUCACUAAUGUUAUUAGACUUAUGACCUGUAUGGCUGUUGUUUCUGGACUUUCUUUUCUUCUUCCUCUUAAUUUGGGGCGUCUUCCAUGUCCAUUGUUUGAAGCAGUCGGUUUGUGACGCCUCCAGCUUGGUACUGUCAGGUUUUGUCUGUAUAUAAUCGGAGCAGUAAGCCUAAAAUAGGUUUCGGUUGCUUGAGUUUGGAUGGUAAUGGUUGUGAACAAUGUCGAACCUUCGCAUUGCAGUAAAUGAACAUCGUUUGAUUGGAGUG